rnacentral:rRNA from 1 species
AUUGAACGCUGGCGGCAGGCCUAACACAUGCAAGUCGAGCGGCAGCGGGAAGUAGCUUGCUACUUUGCCGGCGAGCGGCGGACGGGUGAGUAAUGUCUGGGAAACUGCCUGAUGGAGGGGGAUAACUACUGGAAACGGUAGCUAAUACCGCAUAAUGUCGCAAGACCAAAGAGGGGGACCUUCGGGCCUCUUGCCAUCAGAUGGGCCCAGAUGGGAUUAGCUAGUAGGUGGGGUAACGGCUCACCUAGGCGACGAUCCCUAGCUGGUCUGAGAGGAUGACCAGCCACACUGGAACUGAGACACGGUCCAGACUCCUACGGGAGGCAGCAGUGGGGAAUAUUGCACAAUGGGCGCAAGCCUGAUGCAGCCAUGCCGCGUGUAUGAAGAAGGCCUUCGGGUUGUAAAGUACUUUCAGCGGGGAGGAAGGUGUUGAGGUUAAUAACCUCAGCAAUUGACGUUACCCGCAGAAGAAGCACCGGCUAACUCCGUGCCAGCAGCCGCAGUAACUC